GUCCCCAGAAUCCACUACAGAGGCACUCCAAUUUCAGCAGCUGUAUGGGACAAAAAUUAAGAUGGCAGACGUCUUGGUUGUCUUGUCUUGACACAGACUAGAGUUGUCUGGGAAGAGGAACCUCAGGCUAAUGAAGAACCACAAACUACGGAAGAUGGAGCCAGAUUCUUCCCCGCGGCUUCCAAAGGACACCGACACCACGAGCACCCCGAUUUUAGCCCCCGAGACCCAGGGUCCCGACUCCUAGACUCCACAGGACACUUGGCUGUCAUCCCCCGCCACCCCUUGCCCACGACACGUGGGCUCGAGUAGAGAAGCUCUCAACCUUGUAGUCUAGCCUUGGAUUUCAGCUUCCUUCUCGGUCUCAUCUUCCUGUCUGUAGCCAGAUGUAUCCCAGAUGUUCUGCUUUAGGCCCCCACUUGUUACAUUCCUCACAUCUCAACUCCACCCCAGCCAGUGCACACCUUAAGCGGCGCCAGGGAGGUAGACUAGCGACCAGAGCUUGUGACAUCAUCAUGGAGCCCAGUCUGUGGCGUCAUCAUGGAACCCAUCGGUACUGUCCCGAUGGUCAGAGCCCUGGAGAUAGAGCCGGAGGCGGCUGUGAGCAGCGGGGGCCCGGGCAUUGAACCAGAAUGCAGGCCCUCCGAUGGAGAAGUCAGCCCUCUUAACCACUGAGCUGCGUCUCCAGCACCAGACUAAGGUUUUCCUGAGAUGGGGUCUCACUGUGAGUACCAGGCUGGCCUCCAACCCUCAGUUUUCUGGCCUUAGUCCAUCCAUCUUGAGUGUUGGGACCACAAAGGUUUGCUGUCCUGCCUAUCCUAGAACACAUAUUUUCUUUUUGAAAAUUUAAAUGAUAUUGUUUAUUUACUCUUUGAAAAUUUCAUAUGUAUAUCCACCCCACGGCCCCUCUAAGUCCCCCUGGUACCCUGGCACUUUCAAAUUUCAUAUCUUAUUUUUUCCAAAAUAUACUUAUUUUUAUUUCA